AUUGAACGCUGGCGGCAGGCUUAACACAUGCAAGUCGAGCGGAGAUGAGGUGCUUGCACCUUAUCUUAGCGGCGGACGGGUGAGUAAUGCUUAGGAAUCUGCCUAUUAGUGGGGGACAACAUUCCGAAAGGAAUGCUAAUACCGCAUACGUCCUACGGGAGAAAGCAGGGGAUCUUCGGACCUUGCGCUAAUAGAUGAGCCUAAGUCGGGUUAGCUAGUUGGUGGGGUAAAGGCCUACCAAGGCGACGAUCUGUGGCGGGUCUGGGAGGAUGAUCCGCCACAAUGGGACUGGGACACGGGCCAGACGCCUACGGGAGGCAGCAGUGGGGAAUAUUGGACAAUGGGGGGAACCCUGAUCCAGCCAUGCCGCGUGUGUGAAGAAGGCCUUAUGGUUGUAAAGCACUUUAAGCGAGGAGGAGGCUACUGAGACUAAUACUCUUGGAUAGUGGACGUUACUCGCAGAAUAAGCACCGGCUAACUCUGUGCCAGCCGCCGCCGUAACAC
rnacentral:rRNA from 1 species